GACGAACGCUGGCGGCGUGCUUAACACAUGCAAGUCGAACGGAAAGGCCCUGCUUUUGUGGGGUGCUCGAGUGGCGAACGGGUGAGUAACACGUGAGUAACCUGCCCUUGACUUUGGGAUAACUUCAGGAAACUGGGGCUAAUACCGGAUAGGAGCUCCUGCUGCAUGGUGGGGGUUGGAAAGUUUCGGCGGUUGGGGAUGGACUCGCGGCUUAUCAGCUUGUUGGUGGGGUAGUGGCUUACCAAGGCUUUGACGGGUAGCCGGCCUGAGAGGGUGACCGGCCACAUUGGGACGGAGAUACGGCCCAGACUCCUAGGGGAGGCAGCAGGGGGGAAUUUGGCACAAGGGGCGGAAGCCUGAGGCAGAAACGCCGCGUGCGGGAGGACGGCCUUCGGGUGGAAAACCGCUUUCGCCGGUGACGAAGCGUGAGUGACGGUAAUGGGUAAAGAAGCCCCGGCUAACUACGUG
rnacentral:rRNA from 1 species